rnacentral:tRNA from 1 species
GGCACGGUGGCCAAGCGGCUAAGGCGUCGGUCUCGUAAACCGAAGAUCGUGGGUUCGAAUCCCUCUCGUGCCU